rnacentral:tRNA from 1 species
GGACAGAUGGCCGAGUGGUCUAAGGCGCCGUCUUAAGGAAGCAAUCGGGCACCUGGCGUGAUUUAAUCCGGCGGUCUUCGGGCGUGGGUUCGAAUCCCACUCUGUUCA